rnacentral:rRNA from 1 species
AUUGAACGCUGGCGGCAGGCUUAACACAUGCAAGUCGAGCGGGCGAGGUUGCUUCGGUAACUGAGCUAGCGGCGGACGGGUGAGUAAUGCUUAGGAAUCUGCCUAUUAGUGGGGGACAACAUUCCGAAAGGAAUGCUAAUACCGCAUACGUCCUACGGGAGAAAGCAGGGGAUCUUCGGACCUUGCGCUAAUAGAUGAGCCUAAGUCAGAUUAGCUAGUUGGUGGGGUAAAGGCCUACCAAGGCGACGAUCUGUAGCGGGUCUGAGAGGAUGAUCCGCCACACUGGGACUGAGACACGGCCCAGACUCCUACGGGAGGCAGCAGUGGGGAAUAUUGGACAAUGGGCGGAAGCCUGAUCCAGCCAUGCCGCGUGUGUGAAGAAGGCCUUUUGGUUGUAAAGCACUUUAAGCGAGGAGGAGGCUACUUGGAUUAAUACUCUGAGAUAGUGGACGUUACUCGCAGAAUAAGCACCGGCUAACUCUGUGCCAGCCGCCGCCGUAAUAC